CAAAUCUCCGAACAAGUCUGAUCUCACUUUGAUUCCAUCCUCUCUAAACGUUGAUAAUAUUCCAGAAUUCCUCAAGUUCAUCGACCCUGAUCAGUAGCUUCAAAUCUCCAAAAAAGUAUCAUCGACCCUGAUUAGCAUCAAAUCCCUGAACAAGUCCGAUCUCACUUUGAUUCCAUUCUCUCUAAUUGCAGCAACCCCGAUUACAUCUCAACAUUACAACCCUCUGACCUGUUGAUAAUAUUCUAGAAUUCGUCAAGUUCCAAACCCUAAAAUCUCAAUGUCAAAUAUAAGUUUGUUGAAUUUCUUCGGUUUAUGAUAUUACUUAUCUAUCUUAUGAUAAAUUUGUGGAAUCGACGAUUACAGGGUUUGAAACCCUCUUUUUUUUUUUCUUAAAUACUGUUCUUUCUCACAAUCUGUCUUACGUGGUUUGAUUGUGACAAGGUUUGAAAUCCUAUGAACAUUGAUAUUGUUUUUUUUAUAUUAGUGUUGAUGGAGUUUCGAGCAUGAACGAGGGGUAAUGAAAGAGGUCAAAUGGGUAAUGAUUUGAAAACGUUUCUCCUAGUGAGAGACUCUCUGCGUCUUUCUAUUUUGUGGUUUUUUUCCACAAGAUAUAUCAAUAAAAUUCUUAUGGGAUGUAUACUUACCUUCCUUUUCUUUGGUCCUGAAGUUCCUCUUAAUUAAGACUUGGCCACUAUUUGUUGUCCUUAUAAAAGCCAACCUCAUUUGAUUUGCCUUUGAUUCUUAUUGUGGUACCUUGAUUUUCUGUAAUAGGGGUUGGAGCUUGAAAAACCAUAGCCAAUUUAUGGUAUUGCUUCAUGGAAAAUACAUGUCACAACUAAAAGAUGAACUUGGGAAGUUUGAAGGAAUGAGAGGGUUGCCACCUUUAGAGAAAGUGAUAGUAGGGUUCCUUUCGGCUGUCCAAAUGUACCUUUGUGUCCUGAUUUCACAAUUUUUAGGCCUAGAACCAUAUCUGUUUGAGGUAUAUGUUAUUCCGUUUAUUACAUCAUCUGAAUUUCAUUUCUUAUUACAAC